AAUCCAUGUUGUGGGCAUUGGCGAAGUAAACCCUUUUUAUCAUUCCCAAACCUCUGAUUAGCAUUCUCAAUCCAUUUGCUGAAAAGUGGUGAUCUCGUCCCUCAAUUU
rnacentral:snoRNA from 1 species